rnacentral:snoRNA from 1 species
CAGGGCUUGGGAAAUGGCUGCUGUGUGGUCGGAGCCAGGUGUUUCCAGCCUUGUACCAGCCGGCCUCACCCGUGCCCGAGAUUAAUUCCCACGCAGACUCCAGGCCGGAGUUUGUCCUAUGCAGUAACAGGUGUGAGCAUUCAUGGAGUGUUUUGAUGGUCAUGUAUGAUACUGCAUACAACA